AACGAACGCUGGCGGCAUGCCUAACACAUGCAAGUCGAACGAGACCUUCGGGGCUAGUGGCGCACGGGGGGUUGACGCGUGGUAACCUACCCUUAGGUUCAGGAUAACUCCCCGAGAGGGGUGCUAAGACCGGAGGAUUUCUUCGGCCCAAAGAUUUAGUGCGUUUGGUUGGGCCCUCGUUGGCUUCGCUAGUUGGGAUGGUAAAAGCCUACCAAGGCGACUAUCCGUAGCUGGGCUGAGAGGCUGAUCAGCCACACUGGGACUGAGAAGCGGCGCAGAAUCCUACGGGAGGCAGCAGUGGCGAAUAUUGGAAAGCCGGCGAAAGGAUGAUCGAGCACGGGUGGGUGAGUGAUGAAGGCCUUAGGGUUGUACAGCUCUCUUACACGGGCUGAUAAUGACAGUACCGGGAGAAUAAGCACCGGCUAACUCCGUG
rnacentral:rRNA from 1 species